rnacentral:rRNA from 1 species
CCUACGGGUGGCAGCAGUGAGGAAUAUUGGUCAAUGGGCGGAAGCCUGAACCAGCCAAGUCGCGUGCGGGAUGACGGCCCUACGGAUUGUAAACUUCUUUUGUACGGGAAUAACGCGCCUUACGUGUAGCGCUUUGCGUGUACCCUAUGAAUAAGCAUCGGCUAAAUCCGUGCCAGCAGCCGCGGUAAUACGGAGGGUCCGAGCGUUAUCCGGAUUUAUUGGGUUUAAAGGGUGCGGAGGCGGGACGUCAAGCGUGCUGUGAAAUGUGCGGGCUCAACCCUGUCCGUGCAGCGGGAACUGGUGUGCUUGAGUGCGCGGAAAGCAGGCGGAAUGCGUGGUGUAGCGGUGAAAUGCAUAGAUAUGACGAAGAACCCCGAUUGCGAAGGCAGCAUGCUGGCGCGGAACUGACGCUGAUGCUCGAAAGUGUGGGUAUCGAACAGGAUUAGAUACCCUGGUAGUC